rnacentral:rRNA from 1 species
GACGAACGCUGGCGGCGUGCUUAACACAUGCAAGUCGAACGGAAAGGUCCUGCUCUUGUGGGGUGCUCGAGUGGCGAACGGGUGAGUAACACGUGAGUAACCUGCCCUUGACUUUGGGAUAACUUCAGGAAACUGGGGCUAAUACCGGAUAGGAGCUCCUGCUGCAUGGUGGUGGUUGGAAAGUUUCGGCGGUUGGGGAUGGACUCGCGGCUUAUCAGCUUGUUGGUGGGGUAGUGGCUUACCAAGGCUUUGACGGGUAGCCGGCCUGAGAGGGUGACUGGCCACAUUGGGACUGAGAUACGGACCAGAAUCCUACGGGAGGCAGCAGUGGAGAAUAUUGCACAAUAGGCGGAAGCCUGAUGCAGCCACGCCGCGUGCGGGAUGACGGCCUUCGGGUUGUAAACCGCUUUCGCCUGUGACGAGGCGUGAGUGACGGUAAUGGGUAAAGAAGCACCGGCUAACUACGUG